AUACUUACCUGGACGGGGUCAAUGAGUGAUCAGGAAGACUCAUGGCCUAGAGCAGUGACCUCCAUUGCACUUGGGAGGGGUGCUGCUUUAAGGUCUCCCCAAGAGGGAGAGCCUACGUCAUAAUUUGUGGCAGUGGGGGCUUGCGUUCGCGCAGCCCCUAU
rfam:Gossypium raimondii Chr11_contig_147, whole genome shotgun sequence.